GACGAACGCUGGCGGCGUGCUUAACACAUGCAAGUCGAACGAUGAAGCAAAGAAUUGAAGCUUCGGCAGAAAUUCAUUUCGGAUUAGUGGCAGACGGGUGAGUAACGCGUGAGCAACCUACCUCUUACAAAGGGAUAGCCUCGGGAAACCGGGAUUAAUACCAUAUAACAUUGCGACGAAGCAUUUCGAUGCAAUCAAAGCUACGGCGGUAAGAGAUGGGCUCGCGUCCCAUUAACCAGAUGGUGAGGUAACGGCUCACCAUAGUAACGAUGGGUAACCGGCCUGAGAGGGUGAACGGUCACACUGGAACUGAGACGCGGUCCAGACUCCUACGGGAGGCAGCAGUGGGGAAUAUUGCACAAUGGAGGGAACUCUGAUGCAGCGACGCCGCGUGAGUGAUGAAGGAAUUCGUUUCGUAAAACUCUGUUCUAUGGGAAGAAAAGGACUGUACCAUAGGAGAAAGCGCCGGCUAAAUACGUG
rnacentral:rRNA from 1 species